rnacentral:rRNA from 1 species
ACUCAAAGGAAUUGACGGGGGCUCACACAAGCGGUGGAGCAUGUGGUUCAAUUCGAAGCAACGCGCAGAACCUUACCUGGGCUUGACAUGCUAGGAUUAUCCGGAUGAAAGUUCGGUAGGCCUCGCAAGAGGUACAACUAGUACAGGUGCUGCAUGGCUGUCGUCAGCUCGUGUCGUGAGAUGUCGGGUUAAGUCCCUUAACGAGCGAAACCUUUGCCCUUAGUUGCCAACGAGUAAUGUCGGGGACUCUAAGGGGACUGCCGGUGUCAAACCGGAGGAAGGUGGAGAUGACGUCAAGUCCUCAUGGCCUUUAUGCCCAGGGCCACACACGUGCUACAAUGGGGUGCACAAAGCGAACCAAAACAGCGAUGUCGAGGAAAUCGCAAAAAUCACCCCCCAGUUCAGAUCGGAGGCUGCAACUCGCCUCCGUGAAGUUGGAAUCGCUAGUAAUCGCGGAUCAGCUACGCCGCGGUGAAUAUGUUCCUGAGCCUUGUACACACCGCCCGU